rnacentral:rRNA from 1 species
CUUUAUUUGCGCAGCAUAGGUGGGAGGCAUUGAGUUUAUUCUUGCGGGAAUUUAGGAGCCAUCAGUGAGAUACCACUCUGGUAAUGUUAGAUUUCUAACUUUGUAUCAUGAUCUGGUCAAAGAACAGUUUCAGGCGGGCAGUUUGACUGGGGCGGUCGCCUCCCAAAUGGUAACGGAGGCGUACAAAGGUUUCCUCUGAACGUGUAGAAAUCGUAUCUAGAGUGUAAAGGCAUAAGGAAGCUUGACUGUGAGACCUACAAGUCGAGCAGGGACGAAAGUCGGUCUUAGUGAUCUGACGGUGCUGAGUGGAAAGGCCGUCACUCAACGGAUAAAAGUUACUCUAGGGAUAACAGGCUGAA